GGCGAUGAAACUUCUCUAAGUUGAAGCCACGCCCCUUCCGCAGCCAGCUCCUGAGCAAGGCGACUAGCUAAUUUGCCAACUUGGCUCCGACUAAGAAAGACAAAAUGCCAACGUGACCAACAUCGCAUUCGCGACAUGCCGAUCAGGUCACGUCUGGUCGAAGGGUAUUUGGCUUACCACCGUUUAUCACAUACGCCCAACAA
rnacentral:lncRNA from 1 species